UCGAGGAUCUUCGGCAAUGGGCGCAAGCCUGACCGAGCGACGCCGCGUGUGCGAUGAAGGCCUUCGGGUUGUAAAGCACUGUCGAGGGGGAGGAAAGCGCAAGCUUGACCUAUCCCUGGAGGAAGCACGGGCUAAGUUCGUGCCAGCAGCCGCGGUAAGACGAACCGUGCGAACGUUGUUCGGAAUCACUGGGCUUAAAGGGCGCGUAGGCGGCGGAUCAAGUCCGGGGUGAAAGCCCCCAGCUCAACUGGGGAAGUGCCUCGGAUACUGGUUCGCUCGAGGGAGGUAGGGGUCGCGGGAACUUCCGGUGGAGCGGUGAAAUGCGUUGAUAUCGGAAGGAACGCCGGUGGCGAAAGCGCGCGACUGGACCUCUUCUGACGCUGAGGCGCGAAAGCCAGGGGAGCGAACGG
rnacentral:rRNA from 1 species